rnacentral:misc_RNA from 1 species
GAUGAAGAACGUAGCGAAAUGCGAUAAGUAAUGUGAAUUGCAGAAUUCAGUGAAUCAUCGAAUCUUUGAACGCACAUUGCGCCCCCUGGUAUUCCGGGGGGCAUGCCUGUCCGAGCAUCAUUACAACCCUCAAGCUCAGCUUGGUGUUGGGCCCCGCCGCCCCGGCGGGCCCUAAAGUCAGUGGCGGUGCCGUCCGGCUCCGAGCGUAGUAAUUCUUCUCGCUCUGGAGGUCCGGUCGUGUGCUCGCCAGCAACCCCCAAUUUUUUUCAGGUUGACCUCGGAUCAGGUAGGGAUACCCGCUGAACUUAAGCAUAUCAAUAAGCGGAGGA